GGCUGAUGAGCUGAAGGCUGAGAAGACAAAAGUGUGGGUGUUAGAUGGGUGGUAGCGGGCUAGGGUGUGGAGACAGAAGCAGACGUCCUGGAGUGUGAUCUAGUGACCCAGAGAUAGGGAGAAACACGGGAAAUGAGUGGACAACGACCCUUAGCUUUCCUGCCUCCUACCAAGGGUGGCCCUGAGUCUUCAGGUGGCUUCUUCGAAAAGAAAAAGUUCCUGGACCCUCAGCAACUGAAGCAUGAAGACAGCUUGAGCCCAGUUCCCCAAACGAAGCCCUCUGGUGUCUGCUGGGAUCUGAGCAGGUGGCUAACUUUCAGUGGAGAUAUUCUCAGGCCAGCAGGCAGGCUGCGGACUCAGAGUCAGGUCGUGGAAUCCAGGCAAGCUCCUUCACCUGCUGGACACCUGGCCUCCCCAUGGCUGGUAUUGUGGAACAGCCUCAGCCUGCCUGGGACUUAGGAUGCUCCUGUCCCAACCUCCAAAGUGUUGGGAUGACAGGUGGGGAUGAAGCAACCCAGGGCCUGUGGCAGAGGACAAGAGCUUUGUUCUUCAGGGAUGAGCUCUGGAUCUCACUUCCCUCCUACCCUGACAGGAAGCCCAUCCCUGGAGCCCUCUUCCUGCCCUCUGCCUUCCUAUAUCCAAGGGGCCCUUGGGUCUUAUCACUGAAUCCCAGCCACAGUAGCAGGAAAGACACCUGUUUCCGGAGUAGAAGGGGGCCAGUCCCUGUGCUGCAGCAAGGGGGUCACUGAGGGGAGGGAAAAUGAGUCCCACAUUAGGUACCUACUAUUUGCACAAGGAGACACACACACACCACCAGGGCUCUGGAUCUGAAGCUCCUUCUCUGGUCUGGUUAGGAUGUGGAGGGUUUGCUUCCCCAGCCUGAGAGCUUCCUGAGACGGGGCUCGCAUGGAGCCUUGGGUUUGGUGAAAGGCAAAUAACUUAGCAGGAUGUUUUAGAAAUAGUGUUCUGGGUGCAGUGGACACAUCCUAGCACCAAGGAGACCUGGGCAGGAGGAUCAGGAGUUAAAGGGCCACUCUUGGAUACUUACUAAGUUUCAGAUCAGCCUGGAGUACAUGAAACCUUGUCUGUAAAUAAAGUUAACCCCAGCAUUUGGAACACA